rnacentral:rRNA from 1 species
CCUACGGGUGGCAGCAGUGAGGAAUAUUGGUCAAUGGGCUUACGCCUGAACCAGCCAAGUCGCGUGAGGGAAGACUGCCCUAUGGGUUGUAAACCUCUUUUGUCAGGGAGCAAUUGGCGCUACGUGUAGCGUUAUCGAGAGUACCUGAAGAAAAAGCAUCGGCUAACUCCGUGCCAGCAGCCGCGGUAAUACGGAGGAUCCGAGCGUUAUCCGGAUUUAUUGGGUUUAAAGGGAGCGUAGGCGGGUUGUUAAGUCAGGUGUGAAAGUUUGCGGCUCAACCGUAAAAUUGCAGUUGAUACUGGCAUCCUUGAGUACAGUAGGGGUAGGCGGAAUUCGUGGUGUAGCGGUGAAAUGCUUAGAUAUCACGAAGAACUCCGAUUGCGAAGGCAGCCUGCUGGACUGUAACUGACGCUGAUGCUCGAAAGUGUGGGUAUCAAACAGGAUUAGAUACCCCUGUAGUC